GACGAACGCUGGCGGCGUGCCUAAUACAUGCAAGUAGGACGCAGUUGCGAACGGGAGAGUAACGCGUAGGUAACUGCCUAUUAGAGGGGGAUAACUAUUGGAAACGAUAGCUAAUACCGCAUACUAGUAGAUGGACCUGCGUUGUAUUAGCUAGUAGGUAGGGUAAUGGGCUACCUAGGCGACGAUACAUAGCCGACCCGGGAGGGUGAACGGCCACACGGGGAAUGGGACACGGCCCAGACUCCUACGGGAGGCAGCAGUAGGGAAACUUCGGCAAUGGGGGGAACCCUGACCGAGCAACGCUGCGUGAGUGAAGAAGGUUUUCGGAUCUUAAAGCUCUGUUGUUAAGGAAGCGGUACUUAACCAGAAAGGGACGGCUAACUACGUGCCAGCAGCCGCGGUAAUUC
rnacentral:rRNA from 1 species